rnacentral:ncRNA from 1 species
UACAUCAUGCUGAUAAGAAAAAGUAAAAGUUGGCCGCUAGACAGAGAGUCUUCGUUAGGUGUGAGAAGAUUAGCCGUGCGCUUUGAAAAUGGUCUUUGAGUGAUAGCAGUCAAGGGAUUUCUUCGAAACUGCUACGGGUAAGCCCGAUACAGCUUUCCAGUAUAGAUUAAGUGUACUGAUGGAGUUGGUAUUUGUGAGAAUACCAUGAAUUCAAGGUGGUAACGCGUUUUGACGUCCUUGCA